rnacentral:rRNA from 1 species
AGUGAACGCUGGCGGUAGGCCUAACACAUGCAAGUCGAACGGCAGCACAGUAAGAGCUUGCUCUUACGGGUGGUGAGUGGCGGACGGGUGAGGAAUACAUCGGAAUCUACUUUUUCGUGGGGGAUAACGUAGGGAAACUUACGCUAAUACCGCAUACGACCUACGGGUGAAAGCAGGGGAUCUUCGGACCUUGCGCGAUUGAAUGAGCCGAUGUCGGAUUAGCUAGUUGGCGGGGUAAAGGCCCACCAAGGCGACGAUCCGUAGCUGGUCUGAGAGGACGAUCAGCCACACUGGAACUGAGACACGGUCCAGACUCCUACGGGAGGCAGCAGUGGGGAAUAUUGGACAAAGGGCGCAAGCCUGAUCCAGCCAUACCGCGUGGGUGAAGAAGGCCUUCGGGUUGUAAAGCCCUUUUGUUGGGAAAGAAAAGCAGCAGGUUAAUACCCCGCUGUUCUGACGGUACCCAAAGAAUAAGCACCGGCUAACUUCGUG